GACGAACGCUGGCGGCGUGCCUAAUACAUGCAAGUCGAACGAGCGGCGGACGGGUGAGGAAUGUAUGGGGACUGCCAGUUAGAGGUGGAUAACUAAUGGAAACGGUAGUUAAUACCGCAUACAGUCGGUAAAACUAUAUGGGAUUAGCUAGUAGGUUAGGGAAUGUCUCACCUAGGCAACGCUCCCUAGCUGGUCUGAGAGGAUGAUCAGCCACACUGGGACUGAGACACGGCCCAGACUCCUACGGAGGCAGCAGUGGGGAAUAUUGCACAAUGGGCGCAAGCCUGAUGCAGCCAUGCCGCGUGUAUGAAGAAGGCCCUAGGGUUGUAAAGUACGUUCAGUCGGGAGGCGUUACCGACAGAAGAAGCACCGGCUAACUCCGUGCCAGCAGCCGCGGUAAUAC
rnacentral:rRNA from 1 species